rnacentral:lncRNA from 1 species
CCACUAUUAAAGCAGUACCCCUUUCUGAAAACAGGCAAAAUUUGGAAAUCAGUCAUGUCUAUCAAAUGAUCUGUAAAUCUCAUUCUAGUCUAUCUUUAUGAAUAUUUUCUUAUUAUUUGGAUACUGUGAAGCUAGAAUAGUAUUCUUAUCUAUUAUUUUUAUUUUUUUCCCUUCUUUUUGAUUGAACCACAUUCAAUAGUUUACCCCUCCCCCUGUUUCCCAUGAAAUCUACCCAAGUGGGCCUCUUGUUUAAGUCAAAUUUAAAAACUACCCAAAACUUUUUCAUAGUGAAGAAUAUGCUACAAUACAACUAUCUAAACACAAGAAAUACCAUAGCUUUCCCUUUUUUGACUAUACAGGUCUUUAUACAUGCCUACUAUAUCAUGGUUUUUAGACUGUACUUGACACCCCAAUGCAUAUAAAAUUUGCAAUAAAAAUCAAGAAAAAACAAAAUGAAUACUCAAGUUGGUGUUUUUGGUAAGAAUAUUGAUUACUUGUCACACCUAAUCACAAAAAUCCUUGUCAUGAUGGAUAGUUUUAGAGAAAUUCUACUUUUUAAACAACUUUUUAACCUAAAUAUGAAAUUUUCAAUUAACCAUGCAGUGCCGCAGACAGGAAAAGAAGCAUAGACUCAUGCAAAAAGAACAUUUUGUGAAAAUCUUUUCACCAAAAGUUCAUUCUAUACAUAUUCUACCUAAAUGUCAACAAUUGAGCCAUAAAAAUAAUAACCCUAAAGAAAAAAUUUACUUUUGUAUGUAGCUGUCUCUUCAACUUUGCACUGAUUUUCAAUAAAAUUGCACAACUAGAAAUUUCAUCACAAGAAGAAGAUUUCAUAGAGGAAAAAAUCUUUCUAUGUUCUUUUUAAUUGAAAAUCAUGUAUGUAAUACCAUCAAAAUCUCAACUUGCCUCAUACUGUUGUGCUUUAUAUCUAUUAAUACUUUUGAAUGGUAUCUAGUAUGAAAAAGCAUAAUUAUUACAUAAUUUCAGUUUUUUCAGUGUAACUAGAUACCGCAUGAUUUUUUUCUCUUACAAAGUCCUUAAAUCAUGAUGUUUUGUCAUUCUGGGCACAUAAAAGUCCACAUGAGCUACUUUCUUGCAGUGAACAUAUGAAAAAUUUACCCUAUGCAGGUUGCAGUCUUGUAAUUGAGCUCUAUAGGCUUAUAUGCUAAACAUCUGAUCUUUGAAAAUAAAAAAAUAAAAAAUGCUACAUAGAAAAAAAAUGUCAUGUUCAUAUCAUGUAUGUACUAAUGUGAAAUUGUGAUUUAAUCGAAAAAAAAGUGGGUCAUGCCACGAAGAAUAAAAAGUUACGUAACCCUGAAGUCAAAACAUUUUUUUUCUACUUUCUGUUUGCUGUUUUCACUAGGCCGCACCACUUCCAGUAAUUAUGAAAUCCUUCCACUUUCCUGGAUUGAUAUCCC